rnacentral:rRNA from 1 species
CAUUUCUAGCUUGCUAGAAGAUGACGAGCGGCGGACGGGUGAGUAAUACUUGGGGAUCUGCCUGAUGGCGGGGGACAACCACUGGAAACGGUGGCUAAUACCGCAUAAUGCCUACGGGCCAAAGUGUGGGACCUUCGGGCCACAUGCCAUCAGAUGAACCCAAGCGAGAUUAGCUAGUUGGUGAGGUAACGGCUCACCAAGGCGACGAUCUCUAGCUGGUCUGAGAGGAUGAUCAGCCACACUGGGACUGAGACACGGCCCAGACUCCUACGGGAGGCAGCAGUGGGGAAUAUUGGACAAUGGGCGCAAGCCUGAUCCAGCCAUGCCGCGUGUGUGAAGAAGGCCUUCGGGUUGUAAAGCACUUUCAGUGGUGAGGAAGGCCUUGUAGUUAAUAGCUGCAAGGAUUGACGUUAGCCACAGAAGAAGCACCGGCUAACUCCGUGCCAGCAGCCGCGGUAAUACGGAGGGUGCGAGCGUUAAUCGGAAUUACUGGGCGUAAAGCGCACGUAGGCGGUUUGUUAAGCAAGAUGUGAAAGCCCAGGGCUCAACCUUGGAAUUGCAUUUUGAACUGGCAAGCUAGAGUUUUGAAGAGGGUGGUAGAAUUUCCAGUGUAGCGGUGAAAUGCGUAGAUAUUGGAAGGAAUACCAGUGGCGAAGGCGGCCACCUGGUCAAAAACUGACGCUGAGGAGCGAAAGCGUGGGGAGCAAACAGGAUUAGAUACCCUGGUAGUCCACGCCGUAAACGAUGUCAACUAGUUGUUCGUGUCUUUGAGACGUGAGUAACGCAGCUAACGCACUAAGUUGACCGCCUGGGGAGUACGGCGCAAGGUUAAAACUCAAAUGAAUUGACGGGGGCCCGCACAAGCGGUGGAGCAUGUGGUUUAAUUCGAUGCAACGCGAAGAACCUUACCAUCCCUUGACAUCCA